UUGGUUUAAUUCGAUGCUAACACGAAGUAACCUUACCAGGGUUUGACAUACAAGUAGUAGGAAAGGAAACUUGGACCGACCCUUCGGGGAGCUUGUACAGGUGCUGCAUGGCUGUCGUCAGCUCGUGUCGUGAGAUGUUCGGUUAAGUCCGCUAACGAGCGCAACCCUCGUCGUAUGUUAUAUGUGUCAUACGAGACUGCCGGUAAAAGCCGGAGGAAGGUGAGGAUGAUGUCAAGUCAGCAUGACCUUUAUAUCCAGGGCUACACACACGCUACAAUGGUCUGUACAAUGGGUAGCCAAGCCGCGAGGCGGAGCCAAUCCUGAAAGCAGGCCUCAGUUCAGAUUGCAGUCUGCAACUCGACUGCAUGAAGCCGGAGUUGCUAGUAACCGCAGGUCAGCAAUACUGCGGUGAAUACGUUCCCGGGUCUU
rnacentral:rRNA from 1 species